GACGAACGCUGGCGGCGUGCCUAAUACAUGCAAGUCGAGCGGAUUGAUGGGAGCUUGCUCCCUGAUAUCAGCGGCGGACGGGUGAGUAACACGUGGGCAACCUGCCUAUAAGACUGGGAUAACUUCGGGAAACCGGAGCUAAUACCGGAUCAUUCCUUUCCUCACAUGGGGGAAGGCCAAAAGAUGGUUUACGCUAUCACUUAUAGAUGGGCCCGCGGCGCAUAGCUAGUUGGUGAGGUAAUGGCUCACCAAGGCAACGAUGCGUAGCCGACCUGAGAGGGUGAUCGGCCACACUGGGACUGAGACACGGCCCAGACUCCUACGGGAGGCAGCAGUAGGGAAUCUUCCGCAAUGGACGAAAGUCUGACGGAGCAACGCCGCGUGAGUGAUGACGG
rnacentral:rRNA from 1 species